AGGGCGUAAGAGCUCGUAGGCGGUUUGUCGCGUCUGCUGUGAAAGACCGGGGCUCAACUCCGGUUCUGCAGUGGGUACGGGCAGACUAGAGUGCAGUAGGGGAGACUGGAAUUCCUGGUGUAGCGGUGAAAUGCGCAGAUAUCAGGAGGAACACCGAUGGCGAAGGCAGGUCUCUGGGCUGUAACUGACGCUGAGGAGCGAAAGCAUGGGGAGCGAACAGGAUUAGAUACCCUGGUAGUCCAUGCCGUAAACGUUGGGCACUAGGUGUGGGGGACAUUCCACGUUUUCCGCGCCGUAGCUAACGCAUUAAGUGCCCCGCCUGGGGAGUACGGCCGCAAGGCUAAAACUCAAAGGAAUUGACGGGGGCCCGCACAAGCGGCGGAGCAUGCGGAUUAAUUCGAUGCAACGCGAAGAACCUUACCAAGGCUUGACAUGAACCGGUAAUACCUGGAAACAGGUGCCCCGCUUGCGGUCGGUUUACAGGUGGUGCAUGGUUGUCGUCAGCUCGUGUCGUGAGAUGUUGGGUUAAGUCCCGCAACGAGCGCAACCCUCGUUCUAUGUUGCCAGCGCGUUAUGGCGGGGACUCAUAGGAGACUGCCGGGGUCAACUCGGAGGAAGGUGGGGACGACGUCAAAUCAUCAUGCCCCUUAUGUCUUGGGCUUCACGCAUGCUACAAUGGCCGGUACAAAGGGUUGCGAUACUGUGAGGUGGAGCUAAUCCCAAAAAGCCGGUCUCAGUUCGGAUUGGGGUCUGCAACUCGACCCCAUGAAGUCGGAGUCGCUAGUAAUCGCAGAUCAGCAACGCUGCGGUGAAAUACGGUUCCCGGGGCCUUGUACACACCGCCCGUCAAGUCACGAAAGUUGGGUGACACCCGAAGCCCGGUGGCCUAACCCUUGUGGGGGGAGCGUCGAACGUGGGACCGGCGAUUGGACUAGUCGUACAAGGUUAGCCCA
rnacentral:rRNA from 1 species